GUAUCAAAUUCUGUGUCUCCAACCUGCCUGAGUCUCCCAACGGUUGCCCUGUGGAGGACAUGCGGAAUGGGCGAUUAUCUCUAGUGGACAUGCGCCACCCACAUUUCAAAAGCUGUUUCAAGGGUACAUUGGGAAAAUGAACCCCUGUUUCAUCACAAGACGACGCUCUUCAGGCGACCCUGGCUGAGUGCUUUAACGACAUCUUGUGGUGUGAUGGAUUCUCAAUUCUGCGUGGUUCUACUAGAUUCCCAUAUUGUUAUACCAUUACGCCUGUGAAACCGGCUACUUUCAAUGGUUGAACCAGACCGACUGUAUUGGCCGCGAAUUCACGAUUCUUGUUUCUUGCUUGCUCGUCUUCUCGAUCCUUUAAGAAUACCCUACAUGGUUCAGCGCUAGCCUACUUGUUCCGUGCCUCUCUCGAUUGUUUUUCACUGUCAACUCCUUUCUGGAGCCUGUUUGCGGAUGUGACGGGAAUCUCAGAAGGCGGAGAUAGGAAAGAUCCUAUCAUUCACAUGAGGCGGAAACUCAGGGAGAACAUGACAAACGUUAUGCCAUUAUUACUAUGUAUGCAUAUUGGUCAAUAUAUAUAUCCGAUCUUAAAUCAAGCGGAUGGUGUUUAAAAGCACAGCACUGUAAAAAAACAUGAAAGAGAAGCAGAAUACGUUUAAGUGGAGAGAAAACCAAGCCGGGGCGUGAAAACCAGAUGGGAGUAACAGCAGGUCAACAGGAGACAAUAAGAGCCACCGGAAGCACCAUACCCCUUUUCUAAGGACCUCUCGAAAAGCUGCCUCAUCCUGUUUGGGAUACCAUAUCAGCACGUAGCCUUUUCCCCACCCACCCAACCAAAAUACGACAAAGGGGAAAACCACGUAACCUAGCACCUUUCAUCAUAAAGAACCCCGCGCGACAUCUUUCUUCAUCAUCUUGACUUCGUAAAACCCCAUCUACUGUCCUCACCGCCUCCUCGCACCCUUCAUAAUAAGCCCUCCAACCACCCCAGCCGCAAGUGCCACGCCUCCCAAGAUCGCAACACCAACCAACCCUUCCUUCGCAACCUUCUCGUCAAUCAGCGUCCGCAAACUGGCCGCCUGUAGAUUCCCCGGCUCAUGGUCGAGAAGGAGGUCGUUGUAUCUGCGCGCCUCACCAUAGUUGCCUAGCUUGUAGUUGCCGAGUGCGAGAUAGUAGAGGCAUUCGCGUCGUCGUUCGCGGGCCGAUUUGAAUAUUUCGGACAGCAGUCGGACACCCUCUUGUUGUUCUUGGCGCGUGUUGGAUUUUAUGAGGCCCUGCAAGGGAAGUUUUGGGGAGGAAGGUUAAAAUGUUUAGUUGGUUGUAUUCUUUUCGAUGAGUGGGUGCAAUAGAAUUGGAGGGCGGAUCCGCGGGAGGGAAUAAUAAUCGAUGAAUAGAAUAAGGUGGAGGGAUGUUUUAUAUACCCAAGCAUAAUUGAAUUUGGUCUGCACGCCGACAUAUUCCCCUUCCUUUUCGUAUUGGGCUCGCAGAACUUGGAGUUCAGCGGGUUUCAGCGGGCUGCGGGAUGGUAUAGAGAUAUCAGUUAUUUGCCUUCUUCAACAACAAACGACGGAAAUUUUCCACAACUGGAAGGACUCCUUUCAUAAGAACCGAUGUCGAUUAUGGAGGGGCGGGCCUAGAUUAUAGCACUGACCUCUCAGCAUCCGCCGCAUCUAGAUUUGAGAUAAAUCGUUUAGCAAACAACAACUUG
rnacentral:sRNA from 1 species